UACGAAGGGGGCUAGCGUUGUUCGGAAUUACUGGGCGUAAAGCGCACGUAGGCGGAUUUGUAAGUCAGGGGUGAAAUCCCGGGGCUCAACCUCGGAACUGCCUUUGAUACUGCAAAUCUCGAGUCCGGAAGAGGUGAGUGGAAUUCCUAGUGUAGAGGUGAAAUUCGUAGAUAUUAGGAAGAACACCAGUGGCGAAGGCGGCUCACUGGUCCGGUACUGACGCUGAGGUGCGAAAGCGUGGGGAGCA
rnacentral:rRNA from 1 species